CCUACGGGAGGCAGCAGUGAGGAAUAUUGGUCAAUGGCCGGAAGGCUGAACCAGCCAUGCCGCGUGAAGGUCAGUGCCCUAUGGGCGUUAAACUUCUUUUGUGCGGGAGCAAUAAUGGUCACGUGUGGCCAGACGAGAGUACCGUACGAAUAAGCAUCGGCUAACUCCGUGCCAGCAGCCGCGAUAAUACGGGGGAUGCAAGCGUUAUCCGGAUUUAUUGGGGUUAAAGGGUGCGUAGGCUGUGAGGUAAGUCAGCGGUGAAAUGCCCCCGCUCAACGGGGUGAAGUGCCAUUGAUACUGCCUUGCUGGAAUGCGGAUGCCGUGGGAGGAAUGUGUGGUGUAGCGGUGAAAUGCAUAGAUAUCACACAGAACACCGAUUGCGAAGGCAUCUCACGAAUCCGCGAUUGACGCUGAUGCACGAAAGCGUGGGUAUCAAACAGGAUUAGAUACCCGUGUAGUC
rnacentral:rRNA from 1 species